ACAAAUUUCAUUGGGUUUAUCAUCGGUGGAGGGAGCGAUACUGAUGAGUUAAUUACCGAGAAAAAUUGUUGUAAUUUUGAUAAAUCAUCACGUGAUAAAUAAAAUUAUGUGUAUUAUGAAUUCUUCGGGGCGGAAGGUCACGCGUGUCAAUCGUACGAUGAUUAUAUUUCAUCUGGAUUUACCGUUCCAAUCGAUGACUGAUCGUUCAAUAAUCCACUGAAAAUUGAUACUUUAGAUAAAUGAGUACUGUAAAGAGUGUACCGACAAUUAUUGUGAAUUGGUCCCUUAGAGUAACUGGAAUGUGUUACAGUAGAGUAAAGUUAAACUCAAGGGGAGGAUGUGAGAUUAAAGCGGAAUGGACGAUUGACUAACGAGCAGUCACCGGUGGGUGUGUAGGCGGCGUAAAACCGUCGGCAUACACUCUUGUAUUGCACAUUGAACUCUCUUUGCCCAGUUUGAAUUUUAAGCCGUUACGAAAGCCGUCGAUUACAUUGACCUCUUUAAACUCAAUUUUAUAGGUAGAUACAUCCUAGGACGUUAAAUAUAUGGGCCUGGCGAACAAUAUGCCAGACCCUGAUUUAUUGACAAUUCAAGGAAAUGAAAGGAAACAAGAGUUGUUGAAUUGCCAUGCGGGCAUUGAAGUAGAAAUUGAAAUUAAAAGGAUGAGAACUAAUGGGGGUUUAUUAUUAAGCCUCUGUGUCUUUGACACAUUACAGGCUUUUAUGGGCUUCAUGACUUGGCAAAGAGAUGAGAAAAAAAUGAACAACAAUUAUAUUGUGAUCAACUCACCCAACAGAUGAAGCACUUCGUUCAAGAUCCGUUCUUUUAGGCUGUGAACUAUCUUCGUGGUCGUGAUCCUUUAUUUUUUCUUCUUGUGGUGGAUGCAGAGGUAUGAUGAUAUAAUCCGGCUCUUUUUUACGUUUUAUACUGAGCGACUGUUGUGUAUCAUCGUUUUCUUUAUGCGCUUUACCCUUGAUGAUACCGUCCGAUUCGCUUCUUUUAACUUCCGAUCUUGGAACUUUUGACCGGCCACUGAAUCGUAAUUUUGAGAAACGCUGAAGAAAUCCAC